rnacentral:rRNA from 1 species
AGCGUAGGUGGUUCGGUAAGUCAGAUGUGAAAGCCCGGGGCUCAACCCCGGGACUGCAUUUGAAACUAUCGUACUAGAGUGCAGGAGAGGUAAGUGGAAUUCCUAGUGUAGCGGUGAAAUGCGUAGAUAUUAGGAGGAACACCAGUGGCGAAGGCGGCUUACUGGACUGUAACUGACACUGAGGCUCGAAAGCGUGGGGAGCAAACAG